rnacentral:misc_RNA from 1 species
UUGUUACUUUUCGAUUGUAUCAACUACAUCCUCGUUACUUUCGGUGCUAAAGUGAUCAGGGGCGAAAGGCACUUGGAGAUGCCCGACGCCCCGAACGAUGCACAGGUGUGAAGAAAGAUGGGGCGAAGCCUCUAAAAAGAGCGCUCCUUAUCUUUCGCUAAUGAUCCUUCCGCAGGUUCACCUACGGAAA